rnacentral:rRNA from 1 species
UAUUGGACAAUGGGCGAAAGCCUGAUCCAGCAAUGCCGCGUGAGUGAUGAAGGCCUUAGGGUUGUAAAGCUCUUUUACCAGGGAUGAUAAUGACAGUACCUGGAGAAUAAGCUCCGGCUAACUCCGUGCCAGCAGCCGCGGUAAUACGGAGGGAGCUAGCGUUGUUCGGAAUUACUGGGCGUAAAGAGUACGUAGGCGGUGGUUCAAGUCAGAGGUAAAGCCUGAGCUCAACUCCAGACUGCCUUUAAACAGUCGCAGAUCAUGAGAGGUAGUGAAUUCCAGUGAAGGUAAAUUCGAAAAAUUCGAAGACACCAGUGGCAAGCACAACUGGCAUUUAGCGUGAUCAAAUCUU